rnacentral:rRNA from 1 species
GUUAGGAAUAUUGGACAAUGGGCGAAAGCCUGAUCCAGCCAUGCCGCGUGAACGAUGAAGGCCUUCGGGUUGUAAAGUUCUUUAGCCGAUGAUUAUAAUGACUGUAGUCGGAAAAUAAGCCCCGGCUAACUUCGUGUCAGCAGCCGCGGUAAUACGAAGGGGGCGAGCGUUAUUCGGAAUCACUGGGCGUAAAGCGUGCGUAGGCGGUUUUGUAAGUUAGGAGUGAAAGCCCAGGGCUCAACCUUGGAAUUGCUCUUAAAACUGCAAGGCUCGAAUCUCGGAGAGGAUAGCGGAAUUUCCAGUGUAGCAGUGAAAUGCGUAGAUAUUGGAAGGAACACCAGUGGCGUAAGCGGCUAUCUGGACGAGUAUUGACGCUGAGGCACGAAAGCGUGGGGAUCAAACAGGAUUAGAUACCCUGGUAGUCC